GACGGAGGAUGCAAGCGUUAUCCUGAAUUAUUGGGCGUAAAGCGUCCGCAGGUGGCUGUUCAAGUCUGCUGUCAAAGCGCAGAGCUCAACUCUGUACAGGCGGUGGAAACUGAAGAGCUAGAGUAUGGUAGGGGUAGAGGGAAUUCCCGGUGUAGCGGUGAAAUGCGUAGAUAUCGGGAAGAACAUCGGUGGCGAAAGCGCUCUACUGGACCGCAACUGACACUCAGGGACGAAAGCUAGGGGAGCCAAUGGG
rnacentral:rRNA from 1 species